AUAUAGGGUCACAAUGAGUUGGAAUCCACUCGAUGGCACACAACAACACUAAAAUAGGACAAGGGUAGAAAACUGGACUGCAUGCGGUUCAGUUCUGCUCUGAAACCGAGCAAGCAACAAGAAGACUUCGUAAAAUGCUGGGAAAACUGGAGAGAACUCGAUUAUGGAGUGUUGGGAAGCUUCCCUGUUACACGUCUCGGAAAGCCACAGGACAAACCCUAAGUUUACGCAAAGUACCUGAGCUCGUCAGAAGAGCGAUUAAACUGCGGAACGCAGGUUCCGGGAGUGCCGUUUUCCCGCCGGAGUCUAGGUCGGCGCUAGCCUUCCCUACUGCGCAAGCGCGGUGUCACUUACUGAGCAUGGAAAUACUGGUUUUCCUGUGUUCGGCUGCGGCAGUCUUGGUAUGGGGCUUUCUCUGGGCUUGGGACGCCUUGGAACGAAUGAAGAGUUGGGAACAAACAGGCCAGCUGAGAGCGGGAAGCCGGACUCUCCUGGUCAUUGCGCACCCCGACGAUGAAGCCAUGUUCUUUGCUCCCACAGUGCUAAGCUUGGCCCGCCUGAGGCACCGAGUGUCCCUGCUCUGCUUCUCCACAGGAAAUUACUACAAUCAAGGAGAGAUUCGUAAGAAAGAACUUUUGCAGAGCUGUGAUGUUUUGGGGAUUCCAUACUCCAGUGUAAUGAUUAUUGACAACAGGGCUUUCCCAGAUGACCCAGGUGUGCAGUGGGACACAGAGCAUGUGGCCAGCGACCUCCUCCAGCACAUAGAAGCUAAUGGCAUCAACCUGGUGGUGACUUUUGAUGCCAGAGGAGUAAGUGGUCACAUCAAUCACAUUACUCUUCAUGCGGCCGUGAGGACCCUGCACUCAGAAGGGAGGUUACCUAAAGGCUGCUCUGUGCUCAUGCUUGAGACUGUGAAUGUGGUACGCAAGUACAUCUCCUUUCUGGAUCUGCCUUUUUCUUGGCUUCAGACCCAGAAUGUCCUCUUCGUGCUUUCCAGCAAAGAGGUGGCACAGGCCAAGAGAGCCAUGUCCUGCCACCGCAGCCAGCUCCUCUGGUUCCGUCACCUCUAUGUUUUCUUCUCCCGGUACAUGAGAAUCAACUCACUGCACUUCCUCUGAAGUCUUGAAGAAUUUUGAGAUCCAAGGAACAAACGAGGAAAGGACCAGGAAACCUGGGGAUCUGCCUUUAUCUCCCUGACGCAAAGAAGGUCACACCUCACUGGGCCUCACGGAGGCUUAAAGGGAGCCAAUCUGAGAGGCAGAGGGUGACCUCUCUACCAUCAAGAAGAAGAGCCAGGAGCAGAGCACAUCUUUUGAACCCAGGGUCCCUGCGCUGAGAAUCUUCGAGACCCAGGGGACAGAGAGAGCUGUAACACUGGAGACAGUGAGAAGCAGUGGCAAGCACAGCAGAGUCCAGUGGCAGCAGAACCAGGAGAGCAGCUCGAGACAGUGAGAUGAGCUUCCUGGCCCAUAGAGUGCAGCGGCUACAGUGGGUGUGCCCAUCCACAGAGUGAGAGAGCUGAGAGCCUCUGGGCAGGAGCCUUCGUGGCAAAAUGGGGUGUCUCCAGGCACUUACUGGCAGAGCUAAAGAA